GGCUCAGACAGCUAGGAUGUUGGCUUAGAAGCAGCCAUCAUUUAAAGAAAGCGUAAUAGCUCACUAGUCGAGUCGGCCUGCGCGGAAGAUGUAACGGGGCUAAGCAAUACACCGAAGCUGCGGCAAUGUCUUUUAGACAUUGGGUAGGGGAGCGUUCUGUAAGCCGUUGAAGGUGAAUCGUAAGGUUUGCUGGAGGUAUCAGAAGUGCGAAUGCUGACAUGAGUAACGACAAAGGGGGUGAAAAACCUCCUCGCCGGAAGACCAAGGGUUCCUGUCCAACGUUAAUCGGGGCAGGGUGAGUCGACCCCUAAGGUGAGGCCGAAAGGCGUAAUCGAUGGGAAACGGGUUAAUAUUCCCGUACUUCUGACUAUUGCGAUGGGGGGACGGAGAAGGCUAGGUGGGCCAGGCGACGGUUGUCCUGGUUCAAGUGCGUAGGCUUGAGAGUUAGGUAAAUCCGGCUCUCUUUAAGGCUGAGACACGACGUCGAGCUGCUACGGCAGUGAAGUCAUUGAUGCCAUGCUUCCAGGAAAAGCCUCUAAGCUUCAGAUAGUCAGGAAUCGUACCCCAAACCGACACAGGUGGUCGGGUAGAGAAUACCAAGGCGCUUGAGAGAACUCGGGUGAAGGAACUAGGCAAAAUGGUACCGUAACUUCGGGAGAAGGUACGCUCUUGAUGGUGAAGUCCCU
rnacentral:rRNA from 1 species